CCUUGAGACCGGCGCACGGGUGCGUAACGCGUAUGCAACCUACCUUCAUCAGGGGGAUAGCCCGAAGAAAUUCGGAUUAACACCGCAUAAAAUCACAGAACGGCAUUGUUCAAUGAUCAAACAUUCAUGGGAUGAAGAUGGGCAUGCGUGUCAUUAGCUUGUUGGCGGGGUAACGGCCCACCAAGGCGACGAUGACUAGGGGAUCUGAGAGGAUGGCCCCCCACACUGGUACUGAGACACGGACCAGACUCCUACGGGAGGCAGCAGUAAGGAAUAUUGGUCAAUGGAGGCAACUCUGAACCAGCCAUGCCGCGUGCAGGAAGACUGCCCUAUGGGUUGUAAACUGCUUUUAUCCGGGAAUAAACCUCUCUACGUGUAGGGAGCUGAAUGUACCGGAAGAAUAAGGAUCGGCUAACUCCGUGCCAGCAGCCGCGGUAAUACGGAGGAUCCAAGCGUUAUCCGGAUUUAUUGGGUUUAAAGGGUGCGUAGGCGGCCUGUUAAGUCAGGGGUGAAAGACGGUGGCUCAACCAUCGCAGUGCCCUUGAUACUGAUGGGCUUGAAUGGACUAGAGGUGGGCGGAAUGAGACAAGUAGCGGUGAAAUGCAUAG
rnacentral:rRNA from 1 species